UGUUAAAAAAUUCAUCCAUUUAUAUUGUUAGAAAUUAGCAUGGCUAACGAAAUAAUCAUAUAGUAACACGUAGCGUGCCAUGUACCUCAUAUUGACGUACAGGUACCAGAUUUUAACAAUAGAAUUGAUGGAAUUUUUAAUG
rfam:Gossypium hirsutum cultivar TM-1 unplaced genomic scaffold scaffold26.1, whole genome shotgun sequence